UUUGAAACUGGUGAACUAGAGUACUGUAGAGGGGGGUAGAAUUUCAGGUGCAGCGGUGAAAUGCGUAGAGAUCUGAAGGAAUACCAGUGGCGAAGGCGGCCCCCUGGACAGAUACUGACACUCAGAUGCGAAAGCGUGGGGAGCAAACAGGAUUAGAUACCCUGGUAGUCCACGCCGUAAACGAUGUCUACUUGGAAGUUGUGGCCUUGAGCCGUGGCUUUCGGAGCUAACGCGUUAAGUAGACCGCCUGGGGAGUACGGUCGCAAGAUUAAAACUCAAAUGAAUUGACGGGGGCCCGCACAAGCGGUGGAGCAUGUGGUUUAAUUCGAUGCAACGCGAAGAACCUUACCUACUCUUGACAUCCAGAGAAGCCAGCGGAGACGCAGGUGUGCCUUCGGGAGCUCUGAGACAGGUGCUGCAUGGCUGUCGUCAGCUCGUGUUGUGAAAUGUUGGGUUAAGUCCCGCAACGAGCGCAACCCUUAUCCUUGUUUGCCAGCGAGUAAUGUCGGGAACUCCAGGGAGACUGCCGGUGAUAAACCGGAGGAAGGUGGGGACGACGUCAAGUCAUCAUGGCCCUUACGAGUAGGGCUACACACGUGCUACAAUGGCGCAUACAGAGGGCAGCAAACUAGCGAUAGUGAGCGAAUCCCAAAAAGUGCGUCGUAGUCCGGAUUGGAGUCUGCAACUCGACUCCAUGAAGUCGGAAUCGCUAGUAAUCGUAGAUCAGAAUGCUACGGUGAAUACGUUCCCGGGCCUUGUACAC
rnacentral:rRNA from 1 species